AUGAACGCUGGCGGCGUGCCUAAUACAUGCCAGUCGAGCGAACAGACGAGGAGCUUGCUCCUCUGACGUUAGCGGCGGACGGGUGAGUAACACGUGGAUAACCUACCUAUAAGACUGGGAUAACUUCGGGAAACCGGAGCUAAUACCGGAUAACAUGUUGAACCGCAUGGUUCAACAGUGAAAGACGGUCUUGCCGUCACUUAUAGAUGGAUCCGCGCCGCAUUAGCUAGUUGGUAAGGUAACGGCUUACCAAGGCAACGAUGCGUAGCCGACCUGAGAGGGUGAUCGGCCACACUGGAACUGAGACACGGUCCAGACUCCUACGGGAGGCAGCAGUAGGGAAUCUUCCGCAAUGGGCGAAAGCCUGACGGAGCAACGCCGCGUGAGUGAAGAAGGUCUUCGGAUCGUAAAACUCUGUUAUUAGGGAAGAACAAAUGUGUAAGUAACUAUGCACGUCUUGACGGUACCUAAUCAGAAAGCCACGGCUAACUACGUG
rnacentral:rRNA from 1 species